AACGCGAAGAACCUUACCUGGCCUUGACAUGCUGAGAACUUUCUAGAGAUAGAUUGGUGCCUUCGGGAACUCAGACACAGGUGCUGCAUGGCUGUCGUCAGCUCGUGUCGUGAGAUGUUGGGUUAAGUCCCGUAACGAGCGCAACCCUUGUCCUUAUUUACCAGCACGUAAUGGUGGGCACUCUAAGGAGACUGCCGGUGACAAACCGGAGGAAGGUGGGGAUGGCGUCAAGUCAUCAUGGCCCUUACGGCCAGGGCUACACACGUGCUACAAUGGUUGGUACAACGGGCUGCCAAGUCGCGAGACGGAGCUAAUCCCAUAAAACCAAUCGUAGUCCGGAUCGCAGUCUGCAACUCGACUGCGUGAAGUCGGAAUCGCUAGUAAUCGUGGAUCAGAAUGCCGCGGUGAAUACGUUCCCGGGUCUUGUACACACCG
rnacentral:rRNA from 1 species